rnacentral:rRNA from 1 species
UACGUAGGGGGCAAGCGUUGUCCGGAAUCAUUGGGCGUAAAGCGCGUGUAGGCGGCCCGGUAAGUCCGCUGUGAAAGUCGGGGGCUCAACCCUCGAAUGCCGGUGGAUACUGUCGGGCUAGAGUGCGGGAGAGGCGAGUGGAAUUCCUGGUGUAGCGGUGAAAUGCGCAGAUAUCAGGAGGAACACCAAUUGCGAAGUCAGCUCGCUGGAACGUAACUGACGCUGAGACGCGAAAGCGUGGGGAGCAAACAGG